GGCCGCCUGGCGAAAUGGCAUCGCGUCUGACUACGAAUCAGGAGAUUGCAGGUUUGACCCCUGCGGUGGUCA
rnacentral:tRNA from 1 species